ACGCUCGACACCUACGGGGGGCAGCAGUGGGGAAUAUUGGGCAAUGGAGGCAACUCUGACCCAGCAACGCCGCGUGAAUGAUGAAGGUCUUCGGAUUGUAAAGUUCUGUGACGGGGGACGAACACAAUGACGGUACCCCGAUAGCAAGCCACGGCUAACUACGUGCCUGCAGCCGGCGGUAAUCUGAGCGGCUGGCAAGGC
rnacentral:rRNA from 1 species